rnacentral:lncRNA from 1 species
UUCCUCCAAGGGUCGGAUAUCCCCAGUUCUUCCAGGACUCGGAUAUCUCAGUCUCUCAUUCGCCGUUCCUUCUGCUGGAUAGGUGUGGAUUUGCGGUUGUCCAUUUCGUGAUGCCGGUGGUCUGGAUUAGGAACAUCCCGCAUUCCGUCGGCUGAUCAGUCCUGGCAGUUUCUUGUCGGUGAGUGGUACGGUUGAAAGAGUAGAACCGGUCCCAUUUCUUCUGGAAGCAGUGCGCAAUCCUUGCCGUCCUUUUCACAUUGGAGUGUUUCUUUAAUUUAUUUAUCUUUUGAAUGCGAUUUUUCUUAUGGCUUUACCUUUAUCUUUUUUUCUGGAAGGAAAGUCCUGGGAGUCCAUUCGUCAUCCUGUUAUCGAAGGUCACCUCAUACGGUGAAUUUCAGGUUCAAUUUCCUGAUUUUUCCCCACAUUUAUGAUUAUCAGGGACGAAUUUUGGAAUGCUCCUACUGGUCUAGAAAUCUGUCUGCGUUUUUUAUCAGGGAGUCCACUUUUAUGUUUUCACGUGGUAAAACAAGUUUUAAUUCUCCGUGCUCUUUAAUUUUCAUCUGAAGCUGUCGACAUUUUCUUUGCAUAUUUUCCCUUGCUUUCCUUCUACUUUAUUUACAGUUUGCUUUGAUAUUUCUAGGAUUUCUCGCCACCAGGCUAACAUCGUAAAUCUUCACAUUCAUAGUUAACGAUUUCACAGAGGUUUAUGUUUUGUUUCACAGCUAUGGGUGUUUCAUUUAUAUUUUUCGGAGCUCAAAUGAUCCACGUACUUUUUAGAUCCCCCAUAAAAUGCACAGAUUAAUACUUUCCCCCUUUUUUAUAUUACUGGAUUUUUCUUUUUUCUUUUUGCC